rnacentral:rRNA from 1 species
AUUGAACUCUGGCGGCAGGCUUAACACAUGCAAGUCGAGCGGGGGAAGGUAGCUUGCUACCGGACCUAGCGGCGGACGGGUGGGUAAUGCUUAGGAAUCUGCCUAUUAGUGGGGGACAACACACCGAAAGGGAUGCUAAUACCGCAUACGUCCUACGGGAGAAAGCCGGGGAUCUUCGGACCUUGCGCUGCUAGAUGAGCCUCAGUCGGAUUAGCUAGUUGGUGGGGUAAAUGCCUACCCAGGCGACGAUCUGUAGCGGGUCUGAGAGGAUGAUCCGCCACACUGUGACUGAGACACGGCCCAGACUCCUACGGGAGGCAGCAGUGGGGAAUAUUUGGCAAUGGGGGGAACCCUGAUCCAGCCAUGCCACGUGUGUGAAGAAGGCCUUAUGGUUGUAAAGCACUUUAAGCGAGGAGGAGGCUACUCUAGUUAAUACCUAGGGAUAGUGGGCGUUACUCGCAGAAUAAGCGCCGGCUAACUCUGUGCCAGCCGCCGCGGUAA